AGAAUGGAAAUGCCCAUGGAGGCCAAAUCAAACACAAACAAAACGGAAAUGCCCGUGGUGACGAAAGAAACCCUUAGCAGAAUGGAAAUGCAUUUGGGUGGGUUAUCGUGCCAGAGCCAUUAGCUGGAAGGCCGCCGGCGAAAAAAUAAUAUAGCCCAUAAAAGACUAGCCGUUGAGAGAAUGAUAACGGCAAAGAAAAUUCAAAUGGGAGCGUGAAAAAGCAUUUGAAUUUCAAUAUAUAUAUAAGCAAUUCAGUUUCAUUUCGUUAGACAUUCUUUCUUUCUGUGAUUGCCCCUUUCUCUGGAUGUUCUGUUUUGUGAUUGUCUCUUUCUGUCAAUGUUAUGUUCUUUCUCUCUGUUUUCUUCAAAAAAUUUUAAGUGUUUGCUUUGUUUUCAUUUUUCAUUUUUCUGGUUUUCAGCGUGCACGCUGGUCUGUCUGUCUUUUUUCAGGUAUUACAUUUUUCUGGCAAAGCAGGGGAAAAGUAGAGCAGAGGAAGAGGCAGAGCAACCGAGGGCAAAUUCUUCGUCCAGGCAUAAGAUGCAGAACCCAGCAAGUGUUCAUCUAGCUGAUGCAGAGAGGAAGAAAUGGGAAGUUCCUUAUGACCUGCUUUGUUUAUAGCAAGUAGCUGCUCUAGAAGGAAACCAUAUUUUCAAAACAGCUAACCCAGUGUUUGAAUUCUCUGUGUUCUCAGGCAAUGAGUUGAUCUUCUCCUACACAGCUAACCCAUUUGGAUUUGCUAUGAAGCGCAGAUCCCAUGGAGAGGUUAUGUUCAACUCUUCAUAUGGUAGCUUGGUUUUCAGUAUCCGGUGAGCAGAUACGAAAUCAUUGAGGACUUGGAUGUGUUAUCUGUACCAUGACUGUAAUCCUGGGGUUGUGCAUGGAAGCUCGGAUGUCUGAUUUUACUGAGCCAGACUCAUGCAGAGGGAAGCCACCAUGUGCUGUAGCGCGUACAUUGCACCUGCCACAUGGAAGCUCGGAUGUCUGAUUUUGCUUAGCCAGACUCAUGCAGAGGGAAGCCACCAUGUGCUCUAGCGCGUACAUUGCACCAGGAUGGCAGACAUGUUGCAGCCAAAAAACUGCAGUAUGAUAAGAAGGAUCGUGAGCAACUUUUUGAAUUAGUUGUUUUUCAUCACGGUGUAUUAAAAGCAGCAAGAGAUGGAAUUAGGCUUGCAUUAUUUCUUUAGUUAUGUUUUGGUCAAGCAUUUUGACUUGAUAGCAUUGUAAAAUGAACAAAAAUAAUGUUCAAUAAAAAAAUUAUUGGAUUGGACUGAAGGGAAUAAUCACUGGCCAUGGUUAUUCCUCGAGGUCGUGUUUUCUGACACCUUAAAGAAUGGUCAAUAGGCCAAAGCCAUUCUUUAAGGUUUGUGUC